GUGGGGAAUCUUCCGCAAUGGACGAAAGUCUGACGGAGCAACGCCGCGUGAGUGAAGAAGGUUUUCGGAUCGUAAAGCUCUUUCGUUAGGGACGAACGUGCUCUUUGAAUAAUGAGGAGUAAUGACGGUACCUAAAUAAGAAGCCACGGCUAACUACGUGCCAGCAGCCGCGGUAAUACGUAGGUGGCACGCGUUGUCCGGAAUUAUUGGGCGUAAAGCGGGCGCAGGAGGGAUAUCAAGUCUGUCUUAAAAGUGCGAGGCUCAACCUCGUGAGGGGACAGAAACUGGUAUUCUUGAGUGUCGGAGAGGAAAGUGGAAUUCCAAGUGUAGCGGUGAAAUGCGUAGAGAUUUGGAAGAACACCAGUGGCGAAGGCGACUUUCUGGACGAAAACUGACGCUGAGGCGCGAAAGCCAGGGGAGCGAACGGGAUUAGAAACCCCUGUAGUCC
rnacentral:rRNA from 1 species